GCAACAAGAUCACACUGGUACGGUUAAACUGACCUUUUUUGGCAACGGUUUUUUAAGAAACCAGAUUCGAAUGAUGGUAGCUUCUCUAGUGGCCUUAAACAAUCGAACCCUGAUGCGAGAAACAGUUCAACAGCUGUUUGAUCAACCACAAAAGGGUGGGUGUAAGGUUAAAGCCCCCGCU
rnacentral:sRNA from 1 species